rnacentral:rRNA from 1 species
AACGAACGCUGGCGGCAUGCCUAACACAUGCAAGUCGAACGAGACCUUCGGGGCGAGUGGCGCGCGGGUGCGAAACGCGUGGGAACAUGCCUUUAGGUUCUGAGUAACUCAGAGGAAUUUGAGCUAAUACAGGAUGAUGUCUUCGGAGCAAAGAGUUAUCGCGUGUAGAUGGGCCCGCGUUGGGUUUGCUAGUUGGUGGGGUAAAGGCACACCACGGCGACGAUCCGUAGCUGGUCUGGGAGGAUGAUCAGCCGCACUGGGACUGAGACACGGCCCAGACUCCUACGGGAGGCAGCAGUGGGGAAUAGUGGACAAUGGGCGCAAGACUGAUCCAGCCAUGCCGCGUGAGUGAUGAAGGCCUUAGGGUUGUAAAGCUCUUUUAUCCGGGACGAUAAUGACGGUACCGUAGGAAUAAGCCCCGGCUAACUUCGUG